UGAAAUUGCUUGGAACGGAAGAGUUGUAUUUAUCCACAGAAGAGAUACAACAUAGCCAGAAGCAGUGCAGGCUUUCCCUAGUCAUGUGCCUUUUCCCUGACUUGCAGGCAUCCCUGUAGGGAUGACAGGUUCCUGGUGACAAUACUGUCUUCUCUGUUGGGUGUA
ensembl:misc_RNA